AAAAUGCUUGAUGGUUAAUUUCAAUAGUUUUUUGGCUUCUUCUACUAUCAUUUGAGGACCUCAAAGGCCCAACUAACUUGAGAUUUUUAUAUGCAGGCUGAUGUAUUUUUAGCCCCAUAGAUAAAUGUUGCCACUACAAGGUUCAAUAUUGAAAUGCUAGGUACAACAUUGGUGCAGUUAUCUUGCUCUGGGCACCUGUAGUCUUGAUUGCAUUGUGGAAUAUGCAUCCAUUAUUCAAAGAAAGGGCGACAUUCCAAGCACUCACACUUUCUCUCCUUGCUAGCUAAAUUGGCUGACAAACUAAAGAAGUCAGUGGAGGAUGAAAUUCAUUUUCUCAAGGGAAGGGUUUCAGAACUUGAAAGUGAUCUUGUGUUGAAGUCCACAGAAGUUACAUCUGCAGUUUCAAGGAAAGGAGAAGCUCUAUCUUCUGUAUUUGCUGAAAUUGACCAUCUGAAGGAAGAAAAUUUUGUAAAAAUGUGAGCAUUAUUGAAUGCAUAUGGAGGGUGUUUA